rnacentral:lncRNA from 1 species
UGGUUCCAGAGAAACUGUAAUAAAAACGUUCAAAGCUAAAAAUAAAAAAUGAAACAAGCAUAACGUCUGCUGCUUCUCCUAUCCGUACCCCUCCAUUGUCUCUUCCCCAAUCCCAAAAAAAAAUUCCUCUCAAAGAUGCCUAGCACCAGAGAGCAAGUGGCGGCUGAAGCAAAAAUCCCGAGACCCCCCUAUUUCAUUAGCAUAUGUCCGCUCCUUCAAGUGUUGUCCCUGCACCUUAUGGGCCUGCUGCCCUCCAAGUCAUGAAUUUCCAAGGCCUACUGCAUCCAGCCUUGCCAAGCACACACCUCUUUUUAAUCUUGGACUGCAGCUAGAUGAAGGAAAUGAAUGGGCACGUGAUGUGCUUCCUUGUGAAGGCUGCUCGAUCUGCAUAGAGCUUGGGCCGUGACAUAUUCAAAGUUGCUGGAUGUCACCCCCUUGCUGCCAGCUUUGAGCUUCUGAUUGUUUUUCUUCGUGCAAAGCUUGCUGGACUAUGUGGGCUCCUAGAUGAAGAUUUCCAAUUACUUAUGGGCCCGCUACUGCUGAGUUGCAAAGUAGGUCGUGGAGUGCAGGCUGCUUGACUUAUCUAACGCAAGAAAUGGAGGAGCUGUAGCGUGCGCACCCUUGUUCACGUGUUGAGAUUCUUAGUGUGCACCUGUCAUUGCUUUUUAGUCCAUAACCUCUUUAAUGGACGUGCAGGCCCUUUCAUUCUAAAAGCUGAAAUGACAAAAUUUUUAUAUCAUGAAGCACCACCGUGGCUAUAUUAAUGUUCAAAGAAAGUUGAAAUAUAUGUUUGGCGGCUUUUCAAUUUAGGGCACCGUCCCUUUCUUUUCCUUUUCUUUUCUUUUUUUUCUUUUUUCUUUUUUUCUUUUUUUUUUCUUUUUGUUUUUUUCUGUUUUUCUUUUCUUCUUUUUUUUUUCUUUCUUUUCUUUUCUUUCUUUUUUCUUUUCUUUUUUUUUAAAAUAAAAAUAAAAUAUUCUAAACCUAAAUCACUAUUUGGACCUCACAUCUUUUACCAAAAAUUGGC